UUAUCUUCAAAAGGAGCUGAGACAGGAAAAUUACCAGAAAUAUCUUUUGGAGAUUCAUGCAGCACAUAAUCAGAUGUCUGCAAAGGCAAGCCUCCAGUUGCAGGAACGUCAACAUUAGUCGGUUUUCUCAUCAUAGAUUCCUGUGUAACUUGGUAUUGACUUGAAGCAAGGACUGGCUGGACUGCAAUAUCAGGGGAUGUUUGCGGAAUGGUACCCACAAGGACCCCAUAAGGAGAUUGAAUACCUCCAGUCACUCCUACCGAACCUUGUGAAACUGGAAUCCUAGGCUGCUCGAUAUUUUCUGGCCUUUGGUGAAUAAUCCUAUCCUUGGCAUAGUAACCCUCUACAUUCUGUGCUAAUCUAUUGCCCUCUGACGGAGGGUUUCCAACUUCAUGAUUUAGAUUAGUCACUAGUUUUGGUUGAGACCCAAUUCCCUGU
rnacentral:lncRNA from 1 species